rnacentral:rRNA from 1 species
AGUAACACGUGGAUAACCUACCUAUAAGACUGGGAUAACUUCGGGAAACCGGAGCUAAUACCGGAUAAUAUUUUGAACCGCAUGGUUCAAAAGUGAAAGACGGUCUUGCUGUCACUUAUAGAUGGAUCCGCGCUGCAUUAGCUAGUUGGUAGGGUAACGGCUUACCAAGGCAACGAUGCAUAGCCGACCUGAGAGGGUGAUCGGCCACACUGGAACUGAGACACGGUCCAG